rnacentral:rRNA from 1 species
GAUGAACGCUAGCGGGAGGCCUAACACAUGCAAGCCGAGCGGUAGAGUUUCUUCGGAAACUUGAGAGCGGCGCACGGGUGCGUAACACGUGUGCAACCUACCUUUAUCUGGGGGAUAGCCUUUCGAAAGGAAGAUUAAUACCCCAUAAUAUAAUGAUUGGCAUCAAUUAUUAUUGAAAACUCCGGUGGAUAGAGAUGGGCACGCGCAAGAUUAGAUAGUUGGUGAGGUAACGGCUCACCAAGUCAAUGAUCUUUAGGGGUCCUGAGAGGGAGAUCCCCCACACUGGUACUGAGACACGGACCAGACUCCUACGGGAGGCAGCAGUGGGGAAUAUUGGACAAUGGGUGAGAGCCUGAUCCAGCCAUCCCGCGUGAAGGAUGACGGUCCUAUGGAUUGUAAACUUCUUUUGUACAGGGAUAAACCUACCCUCGUGAGGGUAGCUGAAGGUACUGUACGAAUAAGCACCGGCUAACUCCGUG